rnacentral:rRNA from 1 species
AGCAGCCGCGGUAAUUCCAGCUCCAAUAGCGUAUAUUAAAGUUGUUGCAGUUAAAAAGCUCGUAGUUGAAUUUCGGGGUUAGUAGGUUGGUCAUGCCUCUGGUAUGUACUGGUCUCACUGAUUCCUCCUUCCUGAUGAGCCGUAAUGCCAUUAAUUUGGUGUUGCGGGGAAUUUGGACUGUUACUUUGAAAAAAUUAGAGUGUUUAAAGCAAGCUAACGCUUGAAUACAUUAGCAUGGAAUAAUGAAAUAGGACGUUCGAUCCUAUUUUGUUGGUUUCUAGGAUUGACGUAAUGAUUAAUAGGGACAGUCGGGGGGCAUCAGUAUUCAAUUGUCAGAGGUGAAAUUCUUGGAUUUAUUGAAGACUAACUACUGCGAAAGCAUUUGCCAAGGAUGUUUUCAUUAAUCAGUGAACGAAAGUUAGGGGAUCGAAGACGAUCAGAUACCGUCGCAGUCUUAACCAUAAACUAUGCCGACUAGGGAUCGGGCGACCUCAAUUUUGAUGUGUCGCUCGGCACCUUACGGGAAACCAAAGUGUUUGGG